UACGUAGGGUGCAAGCGUUGCCCGGAUUUAUUGGGCGUAAAGGGCGCGUAGGCGGCUCUGCACGUCCGUUGUGAAAUCGCCCGGCUCAACUGGGCGGGGUCAGCGGAUACGGCAGAGCUUGAGCAAGCUAGGGGGCAAUGGAAUUCCCGGUGUAGUGGUGGAAUGCGUAGAUAUCGGGGGGAACACCAGUGGCGAAGGCGGUUGCCUGGGGCUUUGCUGACGCUGAUGCGCGAAAGCGUGGGGAGCGAUCCGG
rnacentral:rRNA from 1 species